GGGGAAUAUUGGACAAUGGGCGAAAGCCUGAUCCAGCAACGCCGCGUGAGGGAUGACUGCCUUCGGGUUGUAAACCUCUUUCAGUAGGGACGAAGCGCAAGUGACGGUACCUACAGAAGAAGCACCGGCCAACUACGUGCCAGCAGCCGCGGUAAUACGUAGGGUGCGAGCGUUGUCCGGAAUUAUUGGGCGUAAAGGGCUCGUAGGCGGUUUGUCACGUCGGGAGUGAAAACCAGGUGCUUAACACCUGGCCUGCUUCCGAUACGGGCAGACUAGAGGUAUGCAGGGGAGAACGGAAUUCCUGGUGUAGCGGUGAAAUGCGCAGAUAUCAGGAGGAACACCGGUGGCGAAGGCGGUUCUCUGGGCAUUACCUGACGCUGAGGAGCGAAAGUGUGGGGAGCGAAC
rnacentral:rRNA from 1 species